rnacentral:rRNA from 1 species
GAUGAACGCUGGCGGCGUGCCUAAUACAUGCAAGUCGAGCGAACGGACGAGAAGCUUGCUUCUCUGAUGUUAGCGGCGGACGGGUGAGUAACACGUGGAUAACCUACCUAUCAGACUGGGAUAACUUCGGGAAACCGGAGCUAAUACCGGAUAAUAUUAUGAACCGCAUGGUUCAAAAGUGAAAGACGGUCUUGCUGUCACUUAUAGAUGGAUCCGCGCUGCAUUAGCUAGUUGGUAAGGUAACGGCUUACCAAGGCAACGAUGCAUAGCCGACCUGAGAGGGUGAGCCGACACACUGGAACUGAGACACGGUACAGACUCCCACGGGGGGCAGGAGUAGGAAAUCCUGCGCAAGGGGCGAACGCCUGACAGAGCAACGCCGCGUGAGUGAUGAAGGUCCUCGGAUCGUAAAACUCUGUUAUUAGGGAAGAACAUAUGUGUAAGUAACUGUGCACAUCGAGACGGUACCUAAUCAGAAAGCCACGGAUCACUAUG